rnacentral:tRNA from 1 species
UCCCUGAAGGACUAGAGGUUAGGCCUCUGCGCUCUCAGUGCCAUGGCCUAGGUUCGAUUCCUGGCCAGGGAA